CAAAUACAAAGCCUUAGUUUUGCCGCAUGUUUUGGUGAAAAGAGAAAGAAGUGGGAGGAGAAGUGCUUAUCAUAAGUAAGGCCUCUUCUCUAUCAAACUAGGAAACUAAUGCAGGUGAGGGUUGAACAAGGGCAAGAGGAAUCUGAAAUGGUUACGUAGGCAUCUAAGCCUAUUUUCAAUACUUUGGUAAUCCCAUGGACCCCAAGAUAGAGUCCAUCUCCACCAUCUGAAUGGAAGUUUACAGAGUAUGUGCAUUUGCAAAGUGUGAAAGAUGGAAAUCUUUUGGGAGUCAUAGAAAUCCAAAUAAUUAUUUGUGAUUUAAAUUAAUGAUUAUUGAUAAGUCUAAUCUUCA
rnacentral:lncRNA from 10 species